rnacentral:rRNA from 1 species
ACUCAAAGGAAUAGACGGGGGCCCGCACAAGCGGUGGUGCAUGUGGUUUAAUUCGACGCAACGCGCAGAACCUUACCUAGACUUGACUUCUACAGAAGGCGGCCCAAAAGCUGCUGUGCUCGCAAGAGAACUGUAAGACAGGUGCUGCAUGGCUGUCGUCAGCUCGUGUCGUGAGAUGUUGGGUUAAGUCCCGCAACGAGCGCAACCCUCGCCCUUAGUUGCUCAGCAAUGAGAUCUCUAGGGGGACCGCCAGCGAUAAGCUGGAGGAAGGUGGGGAUGACGUCAAGUCCUCAUGGCCUUUAUGUCUAGGGCUACACACGUGCAACAAUGGCUGGUACAAAGCGUCGCCAACUCGCAAGAGGGAGCUAAUCGCAUAAAACCAGUCUCAGUUCAGAUUGGAGUCUGCAACUCGACUCCAUGAAGGCGGAAUCGCUAGUAAUCGCAGAUCAGCACGCUGCGGUGAAUACGUUCCCGGGCCUUGUACACACCGCCCGU